rnacentral:rRNA from 1 species
UGAGCAAUCUGCCCUUCUCAUCGGAAUAAGCGUUGGAAACGACGUCUAAUGCCGAAUACGACCUCCUUUCGCAUGAUCGGAGGUGGAAAGCUCCGGCGGAGAAGGAUGAGCUCGCGGCCUAUCAGCUAGUUGGUGUGGGUAAUGGCCCACAAGGCGACGACGGGUAGCCGGCCUGAGGAGGGUGACCCGGCCACACUGGGACUGAGACACGGCCCAGACCUCCGUACGGGAGCAG